rnacentral:rRNA from 1 species
UACGUAGGGGGCAAGCGUUGUCCGGAAUCAUUGGGCGUAAAGAGCGUGUAGGCGGCCCGAUAAGUCUGCUGUGAAAGUCCAGGGCUCAACCCUGGAAGGCCGGUGGAAACUGCCGGGCUAGAGUCCGGAAGAGGCGAGUGGAAUUCCCGGUGUAGCGGUGAAAUGCGCAGAUAUCGGGAGGAACACCAAUGGCGAAGGCAGCUCGCUGGGACGGUACUGACGCUGAGACGCGAAAGCGUGGGGAGCAAACAGG